rnacentral:rRNA from 1 species
UACGUAGGCAGCGAGCGUUGUUCGGAAUUACUGGGCGUAAAGAGUGUGUAGGCGGUGUUCUAAGUCUGGUGUGAAAUCUCCCGGCUCAACUGGGAGGGUGCGCCGGAAACUGGAAUGCUAGAGUGUGGGAGAGGUAAGCGGAAUUCCUGGUGUAGCGGUGAAAUGCGUAGAUAACAGGAGGAACACCUGUGGUGUAGACAGCUUACUGGACCACGACUGACGCUGAGACACGAAAGCGUGGGUAGCAAACAGG